CCAGUCUCCCAGGGAGCCUCAGUCUUCCAUCAGUCCCAGCCACAGGCAUGCCUCGUUCCUUCACGUGCUCAGAAUUUCUGCGCCAAGGAUGUCGGCUCCUGUCAAACUAACGGAGAAAUGUUUGCCAGGUGGACUCCCUCGUAUGAGCCAAGAAAUUCACAGCAGGAAGAAGGGGAGAAAAAAAAUUAAAAGAGUAGCUCCGGUUCUUUGGCGGGGGCAGAUCGCAAGGCUCUCAGUCUGAACGGCAAGUCCUGCUUUUCAUCCCAUGCUGAUCAAUUCGGCUCCCCAACAGCCACCAGAGAGACCCAAAGCCAAGCCACAGAAGCCGCUCCUCCAGCCUCAGACCCGUCUCUGGGACACAGUCGGUGGUCAGAUUUGAGCAACUCGUUCACUGCUGUUAUUUCCUUUUGGGGAAAAGAACAUUGAAAUUUCCAUUUGGCAGCGAGGAUGCACAAGACAGCUUUAUUGGUGCCCAUGUUUUUUUUAAAUUAGUAUUAUUAAAAACUGCAACAUGCACCAAGUAUGAAUAGAACAUCACUUAUGACAAGAUGACAUCUGAGAUCAAAAGGAACCACAGACAGACAGACAGACAGACAAGCAGACAUGCUUUGCUGCUAAUCUGUGCCACGGAGUUACCUCCAAGUGCUUCACAGUCACCGGAGAGGCCAGAGACACAAUCAGAUGCACUAUCCAUGUUUCACAGAUGGGAAAAGCAAAGCACAGAGUCAGAGAGAAAUAAAAUAACUUGGAUCUAGCAGUCGCUCUCUGUUCUUCAGUUACUACUGGCAACAGCUACCAUUUCUAUAUACAAAACGAUCUCACAGAAAAGAGGGGUGACUGGGCAGGACCAAGGAAAAUGCACUUUACAUUCUAUCCAAAAGGCAUUUUAAGCACUAAGAAGGCCAGCUACACUGAAGUCUCUGAAAUAUUGAACAAAAAGCCACUGGUACUCAAACUUUUAAUGGACACAAUGGGGAGAUAGUUGCAGUUGCAAUGCUAUAAUCAACGUAUGUAUCAAUGUAAUGGCCACAAACAUACACCCUGAACAGGAACAAGACCUUGGAGUCGUAGUGGAUAGCUCAAAGAAGAUGUUGACCCAGUUUGUGGCAGAUGUGAAAAAGGCAAAUUCCAUGUUAAGGAUAAAUAGGAAAGGGAUUGGAAAUGAAACUGCCAAUAUCAUAAUGAUGUUAUAAAAAUCUGUGGUGCAACCGCACUUGGAAUACUGUGUGUAAUUCUGGUUGCUGCACCUCAAAAAGAUUUAUUGUAGAGCUGGAAAAGGUUCAGAAAAGGGCAACCAGCAUGAUCAAGGGUUAUGGAGCAACUCUCCCUUCAGUAAAGAUCGCAAUAUCUGGGGCUUUUUAUUUCCGAAAAAAAGAUGAGGAAGGAGGUGACAUGAAAGAGGUGUAUAAAAUUAUACAUGGUGUGAACAAAAUGGGCAGAGAUAAGUUUUUCUCCAUCUCUCAUACUACAGCUUGUGGUUAUCUAAUUAAGCUGAAUGUUGGAAGAUUUCGGACAGAUAAAAUGAAACAGUUAUUAAACAAGCAUAUAACUGAACUAUGGCAUUCAUCCCCCAAAGACAAAGUGAUGGCCACCAACUUGGACACCUUUAAAAUGGGACUAGACAAAUUCCUGGAGGAUAAGGUUAGCCAUUGUGGCUAGGAUCUCCAAUAUCAAGCGUGGUAUGCUUCUGAUUAUCAGUUGCUGGGGAUCAUGAGCAGGACUUGAGCUCACGUCCUUCUUGUGGGGUUCCCGCUGCGGCAUCCGGCUGGCCAUCAUAGGAAACAGGAUGCUGGACUAGAUGAGUCUUUGGUCUGAGCCAGCUGCGGGGCUCUUCUUAUGUUCUCCUGUUAGCUCUCUAAAGUUUCAGACAAAGGCUUUUUCCCAAGUCAGCUAUCCAAAUUCCUUUUUUAACUGGAGAUGCUGGAGAUUGCACCCAAGAUCUUGUGCAUGCAAAGCACUGUGCUCCAUCAAUGAGCCAUGGGCCCUCCCCUGUCAUGUGUGGGGAGUCCUUUACAUUCCUGGUUAAUCCUGAAAUCACUGGCAUAGAUUAGAAACCUGACUUCACCGAUAAGCAUGCAUUUAAAAGGUCAGGACACAAAUAACCACCCUUUUUGCCACCCUCAUGGUGAAUACGACAGGAUGGUUAAAGAAGCAUAUUAAGGUAUAACUAAUCUGCAGCAAGCGCUCUUGAGUUUAUGCCCUAGAUUUAAAACCAAUGAGAACCACCUACAUCACCUCUUGAAGCAUCAUAAAAUUGUCCUGAUGCUGACUAAGCUUGAAUUCUCCCUCUGAGCGGCUGUGUCUAGCCUGCAGCCACUAUCUCCCCUUACCAGUUUGGCAGUUAUGCUGCAGUGUACAUACACAUUUACCAUGUCUGUGACAGCUCUGAAUUUGGUUAACCAGCAUCGUAUGCCUUCAUCUGAGAAAGGCUCAAUCGACUGCCUCCUUUCACAUGCAACAAGUUGUGCAUCUGGCACUGCUGUGAUGGACAGACAGGCACAGGCACACACACCGGUGGAGACGUGGAGAACCAUUCUGUGAGGUAGCCUGGAUUUGAUGUCUCCAUCUGGGACCCUACUCUGGAGAAAUAGCAUUUCCAUGUCAGCUUCUCCCCUACUCGCUUCCAACAGCACACAGAAACUACAUUUUUUCCUUACGAUAAUGGAGACAACAACCUUUUCAACCUGUCCCUUGGGUCUUGCUGCUCAGUUUCACAAUGCAGUUUUUACCUUUUGUCUGUAUACAGUUACAAAGCAAGCACACAGAUCCACAUUUGACGGAUGGAGAAUAUCUCCCGUUCUCAAGACAUUUACGAUUGAAAUCUAAUUACACAGCACAGCACAGUCCCAGGUUUAAUUAAAACACAUUUUAGUUCCAGCUUCACAUAAUCUCCGAUCAAUUUCCUAGCAGGCUGUCUGUCCUUCUGCCUGCUUCUCAGACCUACACAAAUAGGAGAACUCUGGGAAAUUCGCACGCUGGAUCAAACCUGACAAAUCUUUGGGGUCUUCUCUUCUAUUGGCAGCUGCACAGGAACCAAAGCACCUGCAGGGAGGAGUCAAGAAGGCCCCCCAAAAAGUCUUAGGGAAGUUGAGACAGAUUUAAUGCCAUCAGGGAAGGGCUAUGCCUCAAUGAGAAACUCAGUAUGAAGAUGAUUGGAGUUUAGGUUCCCUGUGGCAUAUAAAGUUGCCUGUGGCUGUGGAUCCAAGAUAAUAUAUGACAUGGACAUGGAGAAACCACCCAGUUCCUUCUCAUUCACAGACACUACAUGGCUCCCAACAUACACUCACACAUGGACUUUCGUGAAAGUCAAAAGGAAGGAAGUUUCUGACCUCUUGUACAGUCUCAAUAAUGGAGGACACAGACAACCACUAUAAACUACAGUAUUUAAUUGGAACCUCCAUGUACAGCAGGGGUACCUAACCUGUGACCCUCCAGAUGUUGUUGGACUCUCAGCUCCCAUCACCCUCAGCCAGCACUGCCAAUAGUCAGGACAAUGGGAAUUGCAGUCCAACAACAUGGUGUAAAGAAGACCUCCAAGUACUUGAAGCUGGGAACAAACUAACAAUGGGGGAAAGGUCACCAGCUUCAUGCCUUGUUUGUGAGCUUUCCAGGGGCAUCUGGCUGGCUGCGGAAUACUGGACUAAAGCAGUGUUCUUCAACCUUGGUUCCCCAGAUGUUGUUGGACUACAACUCCCAUCAUCCCUAGCCAUCUUAGCCAAUAGCCAUGGAUGAUGGGAGCUGUAGUCCCAACAACAUCUGCGGACCCACGGUUGAAGAACACUGAACUAAAGAGGCUACUUGGAUCCACCAAGGCAGUUCUUGUGGGAAUACCUCUCCUUGUGUCCUCAAUAUUCAAACAGUGCACAGAUGACACAAUCAAAGAAAUGCUCUAGUCUAGAGAAUAAAAGGGAUGAAGUAAUUUCUGUUGUAGGCUGGGCCCAAGACAUUUGUACACAUAACAACCUGUUCUGUGUGAAACAUGAAUAUAUUAUGAACCAACAGAGCUGGGGGGGGGGUUCCAAAGCACUCUUUAAUGUUCCCAAAUAGUGGAAUCGCCAUGUUGCUCACUACCAAAAAUCUCAGCUACUGAUUAUCAAUGCAGUCACAGAGUUUAGAUCAGGGAAAGAAAGGAAAAAUUGUUGCCAAUUAGAACAGUAGAGGGAACUGCAGGAGGCAAAUUGUAAUUGCCCUCCCUGGAAUCGGGCCAGGGCUCUGUGGGCCAAUCACUCUAACUCUUGUGAAAUGUGCCAUACAGUUUUUAAUGAGCUCACAUGACCAGGAAUUCCAUUUAUUUCUCCUUCAAAGGGUAUUUUUGGUGGCACCAUCUCGCCUUGCCCCACAUAUCUCAAACCCAGGGGCUGGAACAGUUGCUAAGUCAGGCACAAACACUCUGGCAGAUUCCUGCCACACCAGUUUUUCUGUAUAUUUCUCCAUGGCCUAAGAAGAGCCCCCCUGCCCCCACUCUGCACCUCCCCACAAGUUGAUGAGCACAGGCUGGAAUGGUGGAAUGGUGCUGCUUUUGGUUAGAAGGAGGGAAAGAGCUGUUCUACAGGAAGGGCAGCUAUCCAUCUGUGAGCCAAAUGCAGUGGUAUGUUAGCUCUGCAUCGAGCAAGGUUGCUCUUUAAAUACAAAUUGCCACCACAGGGAGGGGAUGGGGGGCUUGAACCUUUUGCCUCCCGUUGUAGUUUGGAUUGGCCUCCCCUCCCUCACACAGGCAAUUUGCAUAGGGAAAAAGCUUCUAUUUACUUCAACGGGAACUUUUUUCCUAAGAAAAUUGCAGGUGAAGGGAGUCCAAUCCAAACUGACAUCACAGUACGGGGUAAAGGGUUAAAGCUCCUAAUUCCCACGGCAAGGCCUUGAUCAUGCCCCCUGAGCUAGCAAUUUGUGUUAAAACUUAAAAAUAGAUACGGAGCUAAAACAUUGUCUAGUUUGGCUCUGUCUUGAUGGUUGCAACAGCCAAUGGGGCAACUCCCUGCUUCUUGCAGAGAUUUUAAGAGCGGUUGGCUGCCUUGGAGGAUCUUAUAGGAUACCAUGUUCUUUCUCUCUCAAAUGCCUACCCUGAGCCCACUGCCUGUCACAAGAGGGCACUCUUUCUACCAAUCUGCAUUCACUUUUAUUUUUUAGUUAAAAAAUAGGGUAUGCUAAAAUAAUUUAUUCUUCGGAUUGAUGGGGCUUGUGCUGACAAAAUCUGAGAAUCCCUAUCUCACUCUCUGAAAUGUCUUAAAAUAUUAUACACAGGGUAGGCACAGGGAUGGAAUUGAACCAGCCACCUUGGAAGGGUGGUUUGCAUCUGCUUUGCAUGCCAAAGGUCCCAGGUUCAAUCCCCAAUGGCCUCUCCAAGCUCGGCUAGGAAAGACUCCCUGUCUGAAAUCCUGGAGAGCCACUGCCAGUGAAUGCAGAAAAUACUGAGUCAGAUGGACGAAAGGUCUGGUAUAAGGCAACUUCCUAUAUUUCUAUACUGUUUUCAUUGCAUGUAACUGCAUACCUCCUAGGAGACAGAUAUAUAUCUCCUAGGAGGUUUUUUUAAAGCAUAGUUGCAAUCUAAAUCGGUGGCAGUUUUAAAUUUUCAUGCGUUUAAAUGAAUCGACGCGCAAAUAUUAUACAUGUCUGUUAUCCCACCGUCUCCCUUGUUUCCAUUUCUAUUAAAAAAAAUGGAAAUGGACUGUCUUCAAUGGAUCCCGACUUAUGGCUACUCUAUGAAUAGGGUUUUCAUGGUAAGUGGUAUUCAGCAGGGGUUUACCAUUGCCUCCCUCUGAGGCUAGUCCUCCCCAGCUGGCUAGGGCCUGCUCAGUUUGUCACAGCUGUGCAAGCCAGCCUCUUCCUUGUUCGCAACUGCCAGCUGGGGGGCAGCUGGGCUCCUUGGGACUCUGCAGCUUGCCCGCGGCUGCACAGGUGGCAGGGCACGUAACCCCUGAGCCACACCCUGUGGGGUGAUCUUUAGCUGGUCCUUGACGCCCAGGAGACACGAGCGGGGAUUUGAACUCACAGACUCUGGACUCCCAGCCAGGCUCUCCUCCCCACUGUGCUAGACCAGUUGUCUCUAUACAAAAAGGAAGUGGCAAAGAAAGCCCCGGAGAACCUUGAAUCCUACAUUUAAACAACUCGCCUGGCAGUCCCAGGUGACAAGGAAUCCCAUGUGGGUGAGUAAUCAGAAUUGUGGAGGAGGAACAGAGACGCUCCACCUUUUUCCUGCCAGUCCGUCUGGUUUCUGUGCUGGCUACAGAGGAAGGAAAAUCAGUCCCUCAGACUCCAUCCCGUCUCUACCAGCCGCUUGGUAGAAGACUAUUUUUUUAUUUUUUUUACUAGUCUCAUACAAGGGUAGGAUCCUGCAUUUCCAUCCUGGCUUCCCCUCCUCCACUGCUAGCUGGAAACAGGUAGAGAAAAAAAACCGUGGACUAGUUAACUUUUUGUGGACUAAUUUACAUGGCUAGUGUAUCUCUCUCUUUCUAUUCCCCAAUGUUCACUGUGAUCUAUAAGAAUUUCUGUGGAGCACAGCUGUCUGGCAGGAUUCUUCCCAUGUUACUGAGAUGGUUGCCAAAAAACAACCACCUAACUUCAAUGCAAAUCAGAAUUUUUUUGUUGGGUUCUUACAGGACAAAGAAAGAAUUUUUAACUUAACGUUUUAA